rnacentral:snoRNA from 1 species
UGGAAAAGAUGAAAAAAACUUUUUUUUGGAAUUACCGGCCUAGGAAUAGUUUACUCCUAUUCCGCUGAAGAAUAAAUGUGCUGCAAUUAUGCUGAUCCAU